UACAUGCCUGUUCCUGCCAGUCAAUAUAUGAACAGUUUACAUAUGGGCAGCCUGUACUGAAACAUCAAAGAUUUUCAAAGCAACCAUGGCCUGACAACUUGAUGGGAUUAUAAUUUCUGCACCAAGUUCAUUGAAUAAACUAACUUGGAAGUUGAGUUCUGCAACCCAUCCUGUGUGUAGUAAUAUCAUAGCUGCAACAUUGUGACAGAUACACUGUAUUACAUUAUCAAGAAACACAUAUAUUAACUAAUUAUUUAAAGUGCCUGUUAAAUAAUCAGUUUUUCUUAGAGAUAAUUUACUCAUGGUUUAUUUAAAUAAUUGCUUUUUUGGCUUUAAAAUGAUAUUUAUUGUGCUUUUCAAUCAAUUUUGUGAUAAUCUGCAUUGGACAUGGCAUAAAUUAAUAUGUUGCCAACACGAAAUGGAGAACUGGGUCUUAAGCAAAGUUGCAGGAUUAAUAUUUUUGUAGAAAGAAAGGGUUGAGAAAUUUGAGGCAUUCUGCAGACAGCCUUGCCAUUCCCAAUGUCCAACAAGGUUAAUUUGUUCCCUACUGUUGUACAAAUAGUGUUCUCUAAUUUAUAAAUUAUUUCAAUCUUUUGUUUAAAUGAUUGCCUUAUAACCCCAUGUCCGGCUUUGGUGCGUAUAGGAUAUUGAUGUAUUGUUUAUCCAUUUUGCUGUAAAUUAUCUUAAUUGACGUGUCAAUCAAAACAUAUCUUGGAUAUGCUGGGCUCUUCUGACAAAUGUACCUAUGCCUGAUAACCUUUGAGUGCAUUUGGUUGUGUAGUGCAGACGAAAUACAUGUACAUAAUAGAACUUACUCUUAGCUUACUUAUAAGUCUUGGUAUAAUUUAAUCAUAGCAAAAUUAAUUAAUGGAACCUAAUAACAGCUCCUGUAGUCCACAAUCUCAGU